UUGACACAAAUCAAGUCAGUCGUGUGGUGAAAUUUUAAGUGUCUGUUGUGUUCGUACUGAGUACGCUUUUGAAGGAGUUUUGACCUCUUCACAAGAAACUUUAACUGCAAAGUUUACUGAACUGAACUUUGCCUUCUCUAGGAACAUUAGCCUCAGGUAUUGUUAUAUUAACAUCAACUGUCUCGUGUUUCUAAGAUCCUGUAUUGUUAUGUGAUGCUAUCUAAGGCUCUAUGGUUUUUGUAUAUUUUUUUAGAUGAAGUUCAGUUUUGGUUUAUUUACAGAUAAUCAAAUAUGCAUCUCAAGUAAGAGUGAAGACUGCAUCUGUGGUGUAUAUUCAGAUUACAGUGUAUAUUGAAUUAUGGUGCAAAUUAAAAUUUCAAUAGAGAAAUGGUUCAUUUAAACUUGAUGGUUCAGUGGCCUUAAGUUCUUUUUAGUAACAAGUCCAUCCUAAAUGUAACAGAUCUAUCAAAAAUGCUGUGUGUAUUUCAGAGAUGUGAAAGCAAACAGAAUACUACCGAUGACAUGGACUGUGAACACCUUUACUGUAGAGACAUCCAAGGGAAACAGAAGGAAUUGCAUCAACACCACAGAGCCCAGUACCUUCGGAUAGCAGGGCCUUAAAGGAGAUUCGGUUCUGGUUCUUUGUGUCACAUCUCCUUUCCCGCAUCUCGAGAACAGACCCCAGGAGGACAACAGAACCCCACUGGUAAGUACACGCAGGGAGCUGAGAGGAAUAAAAACACAAGUGGUCGGCGUGGAGAGUUUUCCACUGUGGCAGGUUGCUUUGAUCAGCUUCAGUUUCUCAAGAUGGCAUUGUCAAUCAAAAUCUCCUUCAGCACCAGACCGUCAAUGGCAGGAGAAUCUAUAAGACAUGCAUGAAUAAUACACUAUUG
rnacentral:lncRNA from 1 species